AAGUUGUUAGCAUGUUACCCUGCAGUUUCUGAGGUGUUCUGAGUGGUUGUUAGCAUGUUUCUCUGUUUUGAGAAGUUGUUAGCAUGUUACCCUGCAGUUUCUGAGGUGUUCUGAGUGGUUGUUAGCAUGUUUCUCUGUUUUGAGAAGUUGUUAGCAUGUUACCCUGCAGUUUCUGAGGUGUUCUGAGUGGUUGUUAGCAUGUUUCUCUGUUUUGAGAAGUUGUUAGCAUGUUACCCUGCAGUUUCUGAGGUGUUCUGAGUGGUUGUUAGCAUGUUUCUCUGUUUUGAGAAGUUGUUAGCAUGUUACCCUGCAGUUUCUGAGGUGUUCUGAGUGGUUGUUAGCAUGUUUCUCUGUUUUGAGAAGUUGUUAGCAUGUUACCCUGCAGUUUCUGAGGUGUUCUGAGUGGUUGUUAGCAUGUUUCUCUGUUUUGAGAAGUUGUUAGCAUGUUACCCUGCAGUUUCUGAGGUGUUCUGAGUGGUUGUUAGCAUGUUUCUCUGUUUUGAGAAGUUGUUAGCAUGUUACCCUGCAGUUUCUGAGGUGUUCUGAGUGGUUGUUAGCAUGUUUCUCUGUUUUGAGAAGUUGUUAGCAUGUUACCCUGCAGUUUCUGAGGUGUUCUGAGUGGUUGUUAGCAUGUUUCUCUGUUUUGAGAAGUUGUUAGCAUGUUACCCUG